rnacentral:rRNA from 1 species
AUUGAACGCUGGCGGCAGGCCUAACACAUGCAAGUCGAACGAGUGGCGGACGGGUGAGGAAUGUCUGGGAAACUGCCCGAUGGAGGGGGAUAACUACUGUAAACGGUAGCUAAUACCGCAUACCAUCAGAUGCGUCCAGAUGGGAUUAGCUUGUUGGUGGGGUAACGGCUCACCAAGGCGAAGAUCCCUAGCUGGUCUGUGAGGAUGACCAGCCACACUGGAACUGAGACACGGUCCAGACUUCUACGGGUGCCGGCAGUGGGGAAUAGUGCACACGGGGCGCAAGCCUGAUGCAGCCAUGCCGAUUGGAUGAAGAAGGCCUUCGGGGUGUAAAGUACUUUCGGCGGUGAGGCGUUACCCGCCGAAGAAGCACCAGCUAACUACGUGCCAGCAGCCGCGGUAAUAC